rnacentral:lncRNA from 1 species
AAAAAAAAUCAAAGUUGUUCACUGAAGCACCUAAAGUUUCUCUCCAGUCCUCUUGAUUGUGAAGAAAGCAACCUAGGCAAGGGAAAAUAUGAAAUACUAAAAUACAUGCAAUUAAUAUAUACAUCAACAGGUUUCUUUUUUUGGUGGAAAAGAAUCUGGUUUUAUACCAGUUAAAGAGGACUUUUUUUCAGUGAUUAAAUAGUCUCUUAUUUAGAUCAGUGCAUUUUUAUAUUGUAAAUUGUAAAUAUUGAGAUUUUAUGUUAUAACUAAAUAAUCAAUCUAAAAACCAAGUUAACACCCAUAGAUUUUAGGGAACUUUAACGAAAAGCUUCCGGUACUGUUCACUUUAACGAAAAAUCAUAUUUUUACAUUAAAAAGUCAAUCAUGAUUACUAUUCACUUUACCCUUUAUUUUGUCCUUAUCGUUAAAACUCAAAAUUUUCAAGUUUUUUUUAUUAGUUUUCCUUAGAUUUUAUGUUAUAGCUAAACAGUCAAAACUAAAUAACUUGGGUAAUCACUGAAAUUACAAAGCUUCAUAAACAAUAAAGAAGGGAGAGGGGUAUAGACCAUGAAAAAAUUUGGAAUCACUGAAAUUAAAACCCAAAUUCCAUAAAGUCUAAAUGUAAAUUCACAGAAAUCAUUCAAACCAACUCCACAUCAUUCACGAUAAUUAUUCAAUAAUCCAAGAAAUUGAAAUUGCCACCGUCUCCGAAACCAAACAAAUUGCUUCAUCAUUCACCAAUAUCCUCUGUGUUAUAAAUUCGAAUAAAAAACCAUUGAAUAAAAGUGCCUACUAACCAAAGCAUCCUUUGACCAAAUUAAGAAAUUCAAAUAAAAUUAAACACUAAAAUCUGCAAUAAUUUUUCAACAAAACAAAAAACACUUCUCUUUUAACACCUUCACCAACACUCUCAACAAUGUUGUAAAAAAAUGCAGUCUUUUCAUUCCUAGUUUGAAAUAAUUCCGAAUUGAAAGAAAGAAAAAAAAAUUAAGACUGAAAAGCAAUAAGAAAAUUUGAAAAGAAAAGACCCCAAAAAUAAAUCAUUUAGCUAUAAACAGUAUGCAGAAACGUGGAAAAAAAAUUAGAGAUGCACUAACACUACAAUUCAUGAUCAUUACCCAAAAUCUCCAAAGUAAACAUAUGCUCAAAUAUACACCUCUCUAUUUUUCAUCUCUCACCCUGUUAUUUGGUAUUGUGAUAAGGUUUAUGAUAAGCAAUGAUUUUACCAAAAUUUAAUACUAAAAUACAUCACAGUAGAAGUUUAACAUCAGAGGAGGAGUUGAUCUCUACCUUUGAUAUGUUGAUCCUGGAGUCAAUCUCUACCUUUGAUAUACCAUUUCCCUGCAUACUUGAUUCCUUUUAAGGCCACCUGUUGGGAAAAAAAUAAACACAAAACUUGGAACACUAUUUAAACAAAAAGAGAUUUCUCAAUCAGAGAAAGAUUCAAUUUCAUGUAAUUUAUUUUGUUAACAAUGCAAUAUUGGAACUUGCAUUUGGUUCAAAGAAGUAAGGUAAAUUGAUAACGCAAAAGGAAACUGAAAACAGAAUCUCUACCGAUUGGUUUAAAAGCAGCAAUCAGAAUGGCAAUGAAAAAUUCAUACUGAAAUCUCACCUUGUGAGAUUAUCCUGAUAUGUGUUCACUUUCUAUUUUUUAUCAGACCAAAAUUCUCAUUCUGUAGCUCUGAGUUUAAUUUUUAUUUCGACUCACUACAUAGAUCGGUUCAACCUCCUUCUGUUUUUCCUAGAAUUUUUUCACAGAAAUACAAACUGUGUAAGUGUUAAAAAACCUGUCAACGGCCAUACUACCAAUGAAUAAAAAAUAAUCACCAUUAAGAAAUUCAAUAACCAAGCACACCUCUUGUGCUUUCCCCAAUAUCACUAUUUCACAUUGCAAUUGGUAGUGAGAACACAUAAAGGGCAAAAAAGUUGAAGCAAAACCCUUAACAUCAUAUUGUAAUGGAUAAAAACAGUGGGGCAGAGCGUUGAUUAAAAAGAAAACAGUGAUGUUUCCCUUUUGGAUUUUCCACACCAUCCAGUUCAUCAAAGCAAAUAAAAAGAGUGAGGUAAAUCUUCGAAGCUUGCCUUAAACCAAGGAGAAAAGAGGAUGCCUGUUGAAAGUAAGAAUCCAAGUAAUAAUCAAACCAACAUAGUAAGUCAUGAACUGACCAUCUGUGUUUUCCAUUCGAAAAUGGGAAAGGCCGAUUUCACCACAGAGAGGAUCAAGAGAAAAAUUUGGCUUCAAAUUAAAGUCAAACAAAUCGACCAAUUUGUAUAAUAGUAGAACGAUCUAACAUGGGAAAGGCUGAUUUCACCACAGAGAGGAUCAAGAGAAAAAUUUGGCUUCAAAUUAAAGUCAAACAAAUUGACCAAUUUGUAUAAUAGUAGAACGAUCUAACAUAUAUGAAUUCAUCUAGAAUCCCGCCACCAAUCUAUAACUAAAAGAAAAAAUAACAGCAAUGUAAGACAAAAGGUACCUGCUUUGCUUUCUCCCCCUCUUUUCGGCGCCUCUCCUCUACCCUCUGCUUGUUCUUCAACUCCUUUUUGUGCACUGUAAACACCCCCACACAAAAUUCGACACAAUCAAAACAAAAAAAAUAAAUAAAGAAUUAACAGCUCUCGUAGCGGAAAUAAAAAACCCAUAUGGAUUAAAAACAAAAACCCAGAAGUGGGAAAUAGCCUGACAAAGCAUGACAUAUAUAUUUUUUAAAAAUUGAUAUUAACAGGGAAAACACAAAACUUGAUAAAUCUAAUGAACAAUUUCCUUCAACCCAAUAAAUAUUUUUCCUUAAAUAAUCCAGAAACUCCACUGUCCUGUUAUUAAUACUACACCUAUGCCUCAGUCCAAUACUAUUUUUUUUAUAUUUGCCAAAAAACCAAAACAAAAUCCCAGCUUGAUUCCCCCUAUUUUAUCCUAACUAUAGGUGGCUUCAAAUUAUAUUACUUCUAUGCACAAUAUAUAAUAACAUCAAAUUAUAAUAAUUGAUAACACAAUUAUUCUUAGGAUUUGCAUAUGAUAUUUGACUAAACACAUAUUUUUUCUUUAAUAAUGCUUUUACAUGUUUUUAAUUGGGUUUUUUUUUCCUCUAAUUAAGUUCACUAUAUUAUUCAAUCAUCUUCUACUUCUACAAAUUCUACUAAAAAGGUCGUACCCAGUGCACAAGGCUCCCGCUUUACGCAGGGUCUGGGAGAGGUGAAUGUCGGCUAGCCU